ACACGACUACAUUAGAUACCCCGGUAGUCCCAGCCGUAAACUAUGCGCGUUAGGUGUAUCGGUGACCACGAGUCACCGAGGUGCCGAAGGGAAACCGUGAAACGUGCCGCCUGGGAAGUACGGUCGCAAGGCUGAAACUUAAAGGAAUUGGCGGGGAGCACCACAACGGGUGGAGCCUGCGGUUUAAUUGGACUCAACGCCGGGAAGCUCACCGGAUAAGACAGCGGAAUGAUUGCCGGGCUGAAGACUCUGCAUGACUAGCUG
rnacentral:rRNA from 1 species